UGCAAGUCGAGCGCACUCUUCGGAGUGAGCGGCGGACGGGUUAGUAACGCGUGGGAAUAUACCCUUUUCUACGGAAUAGCCUCGGGAAACUGAGAGUAAUACCGUAUACGCCCUUCGGGGGAAAGAUUUAUCGGUGAAGGAUUAGCCCGCGUAAGAUUAGAUAGUUGGUGGGGUAAUGGCCUACCAAGUCUACGAUCUUUAGCUGGUUUGAGAGGAUGAUCAGCAACACUGGGACCGAGACACGGCCCAG
rnacentral:rRNA from 1 species